AUUGAACGCUGGCGGCAUGCUUUACACAUGCAAGACGGACGGCAGCGGGGAGUGCUUGCACUCUGCCGGCGAGUGGCGAACGGGUGAGUAAUGCAUCGGAACGUACCGAGUAAUGGGGGAUAACUGUCCGAAAGGACAGCUAAUACCGCAUACGCCCUGAGGGGGAAAGCGGGGGAUCUUAGGACCUCGCGUUAUUCGAGCGGCCGAUGUCUGAUUAGCUAGUUGGUGGGGUAAAGGCCUACCAAGGCGACGAUCAGUAGCGGGUCUGAGAGGACGAUCCGCCACACUGGGACUGAGACACGGCCCAGACUCCUACGGGAGGCAGCAGUGGGGAAUUUUGGACAAUGGGCGCAAGCCUGAUCCAGCCAUGCCGCGUGUCUGAAGAAGGCCUUCGGGUUGUAAAGGACUUUUGUCAGGGAAGAAAAGGCGGGUGCUAAUACCAUCUGCUGAUGACGUACCUGAAGAAUAAGCACCGCA
rnacentral:rRNA from 1 species